UACGUAGGGGGCAAGCGUUGUCCGGAUUUAUUGGGCGUAAAGAGCGUGUAGGCGGCCAGGUAGGUCCGCUGUGAAAACUCGAGGCUCAACCUCGAGAUGUCGGCGGAAACCAUCUGGCUAGAGUCCGGAAGAGGAGAGUGGAAUUCCUGGUGUAGCGGUGAAAUGCGCAGAUAUCAGGAAGAACACCCGUGGCGAAGGCGGCUCUCUGGGGCGGUACUGACGCUGAGACGCGAAAGCGUGGGGAGCGAACAGG
rnacentral:rRNA from 1 species